UACCAAACCCUCUCCACUCUCAAGAACAAGAUCAAAUUUGGGUCUUCAUCAAAGAUCAAGAAUUCAAGCCUCUAAGUCCAAGAAUUCCAAGAAAUUGAUUGAGAUUCAGAUUCCAUUUUUCUAACUACAAAAUCUAAGGAUAAAAUGAACGUUGUCAUAGCUACUGCUCUUUAGGGAUCAACAGAUAAUUCAUCAAAAGAUCAAGAACUUGAUAUAAAUCGCAAGUACUUUGAUAUUGUGGGUGGAGCAAAAAAACGUGUGUAUGGAUUGGGAUCUGAAGCUUUAACCUUGCAUAAAGAUAUGACAUGCAAUUUGCCUAUAGCGUCCGAUCAUGUUGCCGAAAAGCGCAUCAAAAUCUAUAGAGGUGCAACAACGAGUAGAGCAAGAGGUUUCCCGUUUGAGGCAACAAAAAGAUGAUCGAUUCAAAUCUACGGAGGAGCAAUGGUCUCGCAUGAUGAGCGACAUAACAUUAUCUUCUCGCUCAUUUAGUAAUCCUACUCUCCCAAAUAGGGACUCAUCUAAUGCUUAAGUGUUUAAUAUUUUGAGAUUUUAGUUAGUUGAAGUGUCGAAACAUUGUCACACUUUUUUGGAUGGUUAUAUGCUUUAAAUUUUAAACAUUGGUAGACCUUUGCUUAUUGAA